AGUCUUAUAGUUUAAUAAAAACAUUAAAUUGCAAAUUUAAUAUUGAGAAACAAUCUAAGACUU
rnacentral:tRNA from 1 species